GAUGAACGCUGGCGGCGUGCUUAACACAUGCAAGUCGAACGGUGAAAGAGAGCUUGCUCUCUGGAUCAGUGGCGAACGGGUGAGUAACACGUGAGCAAUCUGCCCCUGACUCUGGGAUAAGCGCUGGAAACGGCGUCUAAUACCGGAUACGAGCUGCGAAGGCAUCUUCAGCAGCUGGAAAGAACUUCGGUCAGGGAUGAGCUCGCGGCCUAUCAGCUAGUUGGUGAGGUAACGGCUCACCAAGGCGUCGACGGGUAGCCGGCCUGAGAGGGGGACCGGCCACACUGGGACUGAGACACGGCCCAGACUCCUACGGGAGGCAGCAGUGGGGAAUAUUGCACAAUGGGCGCAAGCCUGAUGCAGCAACGCCGCGUGAGGGACGACGGCCUUCGGGUUGUAAACCUCUUUUAGCAGGGAAGAAGCGAAAGUGACGGUACCUGCAGAAAAAGCACCGGCUAACUACGUGCCAGCAGCCGCCGUAACAC
rnacentral:rRNA from 1 species